rnacentral:rRNA from 1 species
CACACGACUCUCGGCAACGGAUAUCUCGGCUCACGCAUCGAUGAAGAACGUAGCAAAAUGCGAUACUUGGUGUGAAUUGCAGAAUCCCGUGAACCAUCGAGUUUUUGAACGCAAGUUGCGCCCGAAGCCUUUUGGCCGAGGGCACGUCUGCCUGGGCGUCACGC